CUUAGUGCCGCGCAAUUUUCGCCGGUGCACAAAACCCACCAUUAGCCUCCCUCAAAACAGCCACCAUACCUACCUACUAUGGCUUUUGCAAAGUCAUUCCGAGAUAUAUUGCCAUGAAACUACCACCAUGACAUGUGCCGCCACGUCUACAUUGCCUUUGCAUGAUCGUAAGAUAGCUAGCAUGAUGUUUCCAUUGAUGUCUAUGCCAUGCUAGAUCAUUGCCACGGUACACUACCGAAGGCAUUCCAUAUAGAGUCAUAAUUUCUCUAAGUUUUGAGUUGAAAGUGUGAUAAUCAUCAUUAUUGGAGCAUUGUCCCAUGUGAGGAAAUAAAAGAGGCCAAAGAAGCCCACAAAAAAAAGAGGCCAAAGAGCCCACCAAAAAAAAAGAGAGAAAAAGAGAGAAGGGACAAUGCUACCACUUUUUCCACACUUGUGCAUAUUGAGCACCAUGAUCUUCAUGAUCUAGAGUCUCUCGUUUUGUCAUCACCAUAUAGCUAGUGGGAAAUUUUCAUUAUAUAACUUGGCUUUUAUAUUCCAAUGAUAGGCUUCCUCAAAAUUGCCUUAGGUCUUCGUGAGAAAGCAAGUUGGAUGCACACCCACUAGUUUUCUUUACAAGCUUUCACAUACUUGUAGCUCUAGUGCAUCAU
rnacentral:lncRNA from 1 species